rnacentral:rRNA from 1 species
CCUACGAGAGGCAGCAGUGGGGAAUAUUGGGCAAUGGACGCAAGUCUGACCCAGCAAAGCCGCGUGAAGGAAGAAGGCUUUCGGGUUGUAAACUUCUUUUAAGGGGGAAGCGGAGAAGACGGUACCCCUUGAAUAAGCCACGGCUAACUACGUGCCAGCAGCCGCGGUAAUACGUAGGUGGCAAGCGUUGUGCGGAUUUACUGGGUGUAAAGGGCGUGCAGCCGGGCCGACAAGUCAGGUGGGAAAUCCGCGGGACUAACCCGCGAACUGCAUUUGAAACUAUAGGUCUUGAGUGCCGGAGAGGUAAUCGGAAUUCCUGGUGUAGCGGUGAAAUGCGUAGAUAUAAGGAAGAACA